CUUACAAAAACAACACAAAAGUAAACAAAACACGAGGGAAGAAAAAAAAGAAGAAAAUAAAGAAAAAGAAAGAGGAUGGAUAUACCGGAACUAUUGGCGAUAUUCGGGCCGGGUUUUGCCGGCGCCGUAUUCGGAGCUGGUUGGUGGUUUUGGGUCGACGCCGUAGUCUGUAGUGCUGUCGCCGUCUCUUUCGUUCACUAUCUUCCUGGUAUAUUUGCGUCUUUGUCGGCGUUGAUGUUCAAUUGUGUGAGGAAAGAGGACAUUGAUUACUCUCCGUACGAUGAAGGCGAGUGGAGAUUGAAGCUUUGGCUUUUUCUUGCUUAUGUCAUAUCGUUUGUAUCUCUUGCGGCAUCAGUUGGGCUGCUUAUACAAGAUGCCCUGGUGCCUACUGGCCCAUCAGCUUGGACAGGGACGGCUGGUGUCUUGCAGUGCGUAUUUGUGCUAAUCAGGUAAUGUUUAAUCAUAAUUGGAGGAAGAAAGCAUGCUUGAACUACCCAAUGUUAUCAAGAGUGGGCUGAUCUAUUGGACUUCACAUUCCGAGUAGCUGAACACCUUGAAGGUUUUUGAGACUUCAAUGUAUUAUUUACUUUAAGUUGAAUGUGCAGGAAAGUAGAUCAUCUUGUGUAAAUGUUUGCUAUAUGCUAAUGGCUUUGAGCUACAAAUGAAAAAAAAAAAAAGUUCAACUCUUUCUGUUGGCUUUAUUUUCUGGAAUUUGCUCAUUCUUAUAAUUCUGUGAGGCUGUCUCAUCAAGUAAAUGUUAUAUCAUUGUUAAUUUGUAAUGAAGUUCCCACCAUGGACAGAUAAUUACAGACUUCGAUUGUAACUUUCUAAUAUUGUCCUUUGAGGCACUACC